rnacentral:rRNA from 1 species
UAUGAAGGGGGCUAGCGUUGCUCGGAAUCACUGGGCGUAAAGCGCACGUAGGCGGAUUGUUAAGUCAGGGGUGAAAUCCUGGAGCUCAACUCCAGAACUGCCUUUGAUACUGGCGAUCUUGAGUCCGGAAGAGGUGAGUGGAACUCCGAGUGUAGAGGUGAAAUUCGUAGAUAUUCGGAAGAACACCAGUGGCGAAGGCGGCUCACUGGUCCGGUACUGACGCUGAGGUGCGAAAGCGUGGGGAGCAAACAGG